UAGAGUCUUGUAGAGGGGGGUAGAAUUCCAGGUGUAGCGGUGAAAUGCGUAGAGAUCUGGAGGAAUACCGGUGGCGAAGGCGGCCCCCUGGACAAAGACUGACGCUCAGGUGCGAAAGCGUGGGGAGCAAACAGGAUUAGAUACCCUGGUAGUCCACGCCGUAAACGAUGUCGAUUUGGAGGCUGUGUCCUUGAGACGUGGCUUCCGGAGCUAACGCGUUAAAUCGACCGCCUGGGGAGUACGGCCGCAAGGUUAAAACUCAAAUGAAUUUGACGGGGGCCCGCACAAGCGGUGGAGCAUGUGGUUUAAUUCGAUGCAACGCGAAGAGACCUUACCUGGCCUUGACAUGUCUGGAAUCCUGCAGAGAUGCGGGAGUGCCUUCGGGAAUCAGAGACACAGGUGCUGCAUGGGCUGUCGUCAGCUCGUGUCGUGAGAUGUUGGGGUUAAGUCCCGCAACGAGCGCAACCCCUGUCCUUUGUUGCC
rnacentral:rRNA from 1 species